rnacentral:lncRNA from 1 species
CUAUUUAGAGUAAGAUCAGCACCUCUGAUCUUAAAUUCAAGUCUUUUAUCAUUAUUUUUUAUGAGAUUUUUAUUUUCAGCAGUUCAUUUUUAGACUACUCGUUUCAUAAGUAAAUGAUGCCGAAAAAUUAUGAAAUUUAGUUUCUAAAUACUUUCAAUAGUGUAGAUCAAGUCUAACGGAGCUGAUUGCCGAUUUGGAAACCGCAUCAUUAAAAACAACUUGGUAGUUCGUGCUAUCGAUAGUAUACCAGUCUAGUUCUCUCUCUCUCUCUCUCUCUCUCUCUCUCUAUAUAUAUAUAUAUAUAUAUAUAUAUAUAUAUAUAAUUAAGCUAGAAUACUUUUAGGAGCACCAACCUCUUGGUGCUUCUAAAUUUCUAGUCUUUGGAUCUACUCCUUAAUUACUAAUACCCCUUGGAUCAAACAUUAUUC